GAUGAACGCUGGCGGCGUGCCUAAUACAUGCAAGUCGAGCGAACAGAUAAGGAGCUUGCUCCUUUGACGUUAGCGGCGGACGGGUGAGUAACACGUGGGUAACCUACCUAUAAGACUGGAAUAACUCCGGGAAACCGGGGCUAAUGCCGGAUAACAUUUAGAACCGCAUGGUUCUAAAGUGAAAGAUGGUUUUGCUAUCACUUAUAGAUGGGCCCGCGCCGUAUUAGCUAGUUGGUAAGGUAAUGGCUUACCAAGGCAACGAUACGUAGCCGACCUGAGAGGGUGAUCGGCCACACUGGAACUGAGACACGGUCCAGACUCCUACGGGAGGCAGCAGUAGGGAAUCUUCCGCAAUGGGCGAAAGCCUGACGGAGCAACGCCGCGUGAGUGAUGAAGGGUUUCGGCUCGUAAAACUCUGUUAUUAGGGAAGAACAAACGUGUAAGUAACUGUGCACGUCUUGACGGUACCUAAUCAGAAAGCCACGGCUAACUACGUGCCAGCCGCCGCAGUAAGAC
rnacentral:rRNA from 1 species